UGCAAGUCGAACGAUGAUCUCCAGCUUGCUGGGGGGAUUAGUGGCGAACGGGUGAGUAACACGUGAGUAACCUGCCCUUGACUCUGGGAUAAGCGUUGGAAACGACGUCUAAUACCGGAUAUGACGACCGAUGGCAUCAUCUGGUUGUGGAAAGAAUUUUGGUCAAGGAUGGACUCGCGGCCUAUCAGGUAGUUGGUGAGGUAAUGGCUCACCAAGCCUACGACGGGUAGCCGGCCUGAGAGGGUGACCGGCCACACUGGGACUGAGACACGGCCCAGACUCCUACGGGAGGCAGCAGUGGGGAAUAUUGCACAAUGGGCGAAAGCCUGAUGCAGCAACGCCGCGUGAGGGACGACGGCCUUCGGGUUGUAAACCUCUUUUAGUAGGGAAGAAGCGAAGUGUUUUACAUGGAGUGACGGUACCUGCAGAAAAAGCACCGGCUAACUACGUGCCAGCAGCCGCGGUAAUACGUAGGGUGCAAGCGUUGUCCGGAAUUAUUGGGCGUAAAGAGCUCGUAGGCGGUUUGUCGCGUCUGCUGUGAAAACUGGAGGCUCAACCUCCAGCCUGCAGUGGGUACGGGCAGACUAGAGUGCGGUAGGGGAGAUUGGAAUUCCUGGUGUAGCGGUGGAAUGCGCAGAUAUCAGGAGGAACACCGAUGGCGAAGGCAGAUCUCUGGGCCGUAACUGACGCUGAGGAGCGAAAGCAUGGGGAGCGAACAGGAUUAGAUACCCUGGUAGUCCAUGCCGUAAACGUUGGGAACUAGAUGUAGGGGCCAUUCCACGGUUUCUGUGUCGCAGCUAACGCAUUAAGUUCCCCGCCUGGGGAGUACGGCCGCAAGGCUAAAACUCAAAGGAAUUGACGGGGGCCCGCACAAGCGGCGGAGCAUGCGGAUUAAUUCGAUGCAACGCGAAGAACCUUACCAAGACUUGACAUAUACGAGAACGGGCCAGAAAUGGUCAACUCUUUGGACACUCGUAAACAGGUGGUGCAUGGUUGUCGUCAGCUCGUGUCGUGAGAUGUUGGGUUAAGUCCCGCAACGAGCGCAACCCUCGUUCUAUGUUGCCAGCACGUUAUGGUGGGAACUCAUAGGAGACUGCCGGGGUCAACUCGGAGGAAGGUGGGGAUGACGUCAAAUCAUCAUGCCCCUUAUGUCUUGGGCUUCACGCAUGCUACAAUGGCCGGUACAAAGGGCUGCAAUACCGUAAGGUGGAGCGAAUCCCAAAAAGCCGGUCUCAGUUCGGAUUGAGGUCUGCAACUCGACCUCAUGAAGUCGGAGUCGCUAGUAAUCGCAGAUCAGCAACGCUGCGGUGAAUACGUUCCCGGGCCUUGUACACACCGCCCGUCAAGUCAUGAAAGUCGGUAACACCCAACGCCAGUGGCCUAACCCGUGAGGGAGGGA
rnacentral:rRNA from 1 species